rnacentral:lncRNA from 1 species
UCAGAACAAGAGUCUAUAUGAUUCUAGUAUUGUAUAAGUCUAAAUGCAGUGCACCUAAAACAAUUGAUAGGCCCCCACCACAAUCUGGACUUAACCCCUGUCAGCCGAAACCUAGAAAGCAUCCAUGUACACUGACCCAAACUAGAGCCAUGACACAAAUAUCCAAUAGGCAGGUACCCACAAUCCCACCAAUGUAAGAUAUUGAACAAAUGAGCUUGUGAGUUCACAUUGCAAGUCAACUGAAGGAAGUUAUGUGCAUCACUAUCAUAUAUUUGAUAGAUUAGUAUUUCAAGUUUUUUAAAGAUUGAAGGUCAAAGUCCAAGGAAAUGAUUUGGGAAAGGUACAAAGAGUUAGCAGGUUCACAAAUUUGAACAUUGAUAAGUAUGUGCCCUGAAAAAUCAAACCAGCCAAUGGCGUGUCCUACUACCCAAUCUUGAUUAUUUCAAGAAGAACAGACAGAAAGGAACAGUGGGUAUUUCGGAAGAACGCAGUUUAAUCAGAAUCCUUUCUAAAACAGUAUUGGUUGAUGAGCGUACAGCCAUCUCGACAAAAUCAAAGAGCUUCCAAAAUGUAGAACGGAGUCCAAGGAACUUCAAACCAACAUUGAGCAUUUGAAGUAAAAGCUUUUCU